rnacentral:rRNA from 1 species
AAGAUUAAACUGAAGAGUUUGAUCCUGGCUCAGAUUGAACGCUGGCGGUAUGCUUAACACAUGCAAGUCGAACGGAAACGAUGGAAGCUUGCUUCCAGGCGUCGA